rnacentral:rRNA from 1 species
UGGGGAAUUUUGCGCAAUGGGGGCAACCCUGACGCAGCAACGCCGCGUGAGUGAUGAAGGCCUUUGGGUCGUAAAGCUCUGUCAGAGGGAAAGAAAUGUGGGCGACUAAUAAUUGUUCCACUUGACGGUACCCUCAAAGGAAGCACCGGCUAACUCCGUGCCAGCAGCCGCGGUAAUACGGAGGGUGCGAGCGUUGUUCGGAAUUAUUGGGCGUAAAGCGCGUGUAGGCGGCUUAUUAAGUCUGAUGUGAAAGCCCUGGGCUCAACCUGGGAAGUGCAUUGGAUACUGGUAGACUUGAGUACGGGAGAGGGCAGUGGAAUUCCCAGUGUAGGAGUGAAAUCCGUAGAUAUUGGGAGGAACACCGGUGGCGAAGGCGGCUGCCUGGACCGAUACUGACGCU